rnacentral:lncRNA from 1 species
UGUAUGCACCGUACCGUAUCGUACCAGUAAGAUAUCGAUACGAUAUAAUUUCUGUGCCGAUGACACAACUUAAAAUAUUUCAUUUUUAAAAUUAGCAAGUAAUUUUUUCAAUGCAGCUCAAAAAGUUUGAUAAAAAUAUAUAGUAAAUAAUUGAUAUAUUUUAUUGUUUAAAAAAAACUAUUUUAUAUUAUUACAUAUCGGCACACAUAUAUUUUCUUAUGACCAGCACAUAUUGAGCCGGUCCGUUACGCAUCGUAUCAUACCAUACUGAUAAAUUUUCGGCAUAAUUCUAUACCACGAUAUUUAAAUACUUAAUUUCUAUUCCAACAAUUUUUUUACA